AACGAACGCUGGCGGCAUGCCUAACACAUGCAAGUCGAACGAGACCUUCGGGUCUAGUGGCGCACGGGUGCGUAACGCGUGGGAACCUGCCCUUAGGUUCGGAAUAACUCCCCGAAAGGGGUGCCAAUACCGGAUAAUGUCUUCGGACCAAAGAUUUAUCGACUUUGGAUGGGCCCGCAUUGGAUUAGCUAGUUGGUAGGGUAAAAGCCUACCAAGGCGACGAUCCAUAGCUGGUCUGAGAGGAUGAUCAGCCACACUGGGACUGAGACACGGCCCAGACUCCUACGGGAGGCAGCAGUGGGGAAUAUUGGACAAUGGGCGAAAGCCUGAUCCAGCAAUGCCGCGUGAGUGAUGAAGGCCUUAGGGUUGUAAAGCUCUUUUACCCGGGAUGAUAAUGACAGUACCGGGAGAAUAAGCUCCGGCUAACUCCGUG
rnacentral:rRNA from 1 species